rnacentral:lncRNA from 1 species
GAUCCUCACUGACCCAGUUGAGUUGACCGACCCUCAGGGACAGGACUGGAGGACAGCUGGGAAUCAGAUCCCCCGCUCCAGGCAGCAGGGUCUCCUGAGCUCUCCCUGGGCCCACCAGGAUGCAGCACUGCCCACAGGGAUGCCGAGGCAUCAGCUGACCAAGGACAAGGAGGGCACCUUUGUGGGCACCAGACCCAGUGUCCUGCACCCCCAGAGACUGGCCUUCAGAGGAAACCACGUCCUGGGUGCAGAUCCCGACACUCAACGCCAGCAGGUGGCCCAAAGCAGAACUUUCUGCUGCCUUCUUUCCCGUGUUUGCCUCUCCACUGUAGACGGACCAGCCAGGAGAAGCUGGGGAAGGCUCCUAGAGAACCAGCAGGCAGCGCCCGGUCGGUCCGGAUCCCCAGGAGCAGAGGACGCCCGAGAGCAGUGGUGCUGGAGGAAACAUGGC